rnacentral:rRNA from 1 species
UACGGUGGGGGCAAGCGUUGUUCGGAAUUACUGGGCGUAAAGGGCUCGUAGGUGGCCAACUAAGUCAGACGUGAAAUCCCUCGGCUUAACCGGGGAACUGCGUCUGAUACUGGAUGGCUUGAGUUUGGGAGAGGGACGCGGAAUUCCAGGUGUAGCGGUGAAAUGCGUAGAUAUCGGGAGGAACACCAGUGGCGAAGGCGGUUGCCUGGGGCUUUGCUGACGCUGAUGCGCGAAAGCGUGGGGAGCGAUCCGG